UUUUUUUGGGGAUAAUUGCGGCAAAAGUCCCCAAAAACUUAAGGUUGAUGCCGAUUAGUCCUCAACCUCAAAAAUUGGCGGUGAAAAUACCUAAGGUCCCAAUUUUUAUUUGUCCGUUGGUCUUUUUUCUAACGGAUCCGUUAAACCCAAAUAAAGUGCGACGUGUCAAUUUUUUAUUGGUCCAAAUAAUAAUUUUAAUUAAAAAAAUUUAAAAUAAAAUAAAAAACUAAAAAAUAUAUUUUAAAAUUAUAAAUUUAUUUUAUUUUAUUUUAUUUUAUAUUUUCUUUUUUUUAUUCAUCUUCUCCAAGCUCUUCUUCACGCAUCCAACCCCUGCCAUGACCUUCUUCUUCUUCUCCAUUUCAAAAGACCCUCUCCACCAUUAGCAGCAAGCUAGCGACGCACCAAACAACCACCAGCAGCAGCCCAACGACCCUCUCAACUCCCCUUCGCCCAAACCACCACCACCAGCCCGACGAGUCGGUGAUCCAACCACGAUAGUGCCUCCUCGACUUCAUUGGUGCUGUUGUUGAUGUUAGAUUUGGUGAAGGAUUGCCUCCGAUCUUGACUGCUCUUGAGGUUCAGGGCUUCUCGAUCCGUUUGGUGCUUGAGUUGCUCAACACUUGGGUGAGAAUAUGGUUCGAACUGAUUGAAUUUUAAACUCUCUUUUUUCUUUAUUCGUUUUUGAACUGAUUGAAUUUUAUUAGGUUUUUAUUGGGUUGACAUUUCUAAAAAGAAAAUUUAGGUUUUUGUUUUGUGAAAUUUGAGAUUGAAAUUGUGUAUACAUUUUUUUUAUUCCGUUUUGAAUUGAUUUGAGGUUUAUUAGGUUUUAUCUUAUUGGAAAUGUUGUAUUUUACCGAUCACUAUUUUCCCAUUCAUAGAGAAGCCCCAGCUUUUGUUGAGCAAGUUGGUUAGAUGAUUGGCAGAAGCUUUGAUAAAAGAGUGGCAUGAGUUGUUUAGUCAUUUUAUUGCCAACAAAUUUGAAUUGAAAUUAGUAUUUAGGGUUCCAAAUUUCUUUCUUUAAAUAUUGGGAUUUCAUACUCUGCUUCCAGUUACACUUUCAAAACUUAGUGCAGAUCAUAAUCUAAAGAUUUCUGGGACAGUAAAAUUGCAAUCCCCAAUCAAUUAACCUAGAAAUCUGUCUCACUCUCUGAAAUUUGCACAAGGAAAAGAAAAUAGUACUGAGAUUAGGCUGUUAUAAUUUUUGUUUGCUUAAUUAGAUUUAAGUUUUCCCUAGCCCAAAAAAAAAGAGAUUUUAAGUUUUUGUUGACGAUUUGGUUAGCAGAUGCAAUAGACGGGGUUCAGAGUGUGGCUGGAAGAAAAAGACGAGGUGGGGAGGGGGUCGGAGUGCGGCUAGAGGAAGAAGACGAAGAAGAAUAAGAAGAAAAAAGAAAAAAAGAAAAAAAACAAAUAAAAUAAAAUAAAUUAUAAUUUUAAAAUAUUUUUUUAAUUUUUAUUUUAUUUUAAAUUUUUUUAAUUAAAUUAUUAUUUAAACCAAUUAAAAAUUGACACGUGGCAUUUUAUUUGUGUUUAACGGAUCAGUUAAGUUAGGGACCAACGGACAAACAAAAAUUGGGACCUUAGGUAUUUUCACCACCAAUUUUUGAGGUUGAGGACUAAUCGGCAUCAACCUCAAGUUUUUUGGGACUUUUGCCGCAAUUAUCCCUUUUUUUUCCAUAUUUGUUUGAUUUAUUUUUUUCUGCCAUAAAAAAUUCAAUGGCACCAAAAAUUCCCAUAUUUAUGAAAAAAUCUCAUUUUAUAAUAAUUGUUAUAAAAAAAUAAUCCUAUUAAUUUGUUUAUGAGAAAAAAUUCUACUGAUUUUUUCACAUAAUAUAAGUUGUGAUUUUCUCUGCUCUUCUCCAUUGGAGAAGAAGAAACAGGUUGGUCAGAAGCCGGUACUUUGAUCCAAGAUUCAGGAGAUUGAUGAAGAGAAACAAGGUGGAUUGGAUGUCUUUGAGGAUGCUGGUUCAACUGAUGGCCUGACCCUGAUUGCUGCAGUGGCUAACUCCCCAGAAAUGGAUUCGAGGGAGCAAGAAAUUGAUCUGAGUUCAAGAAAGCAGGUGGUUCGAAAACCCCAGACUGGGUUCGAUUGGGCCAAAGUAGCUGAAAUUGAGGCAGAGGUGGAACAGGAAAAGUAUCACGAGUCGGCGAAGAGUCAAUGGUCUUCGUUUUCGAAAGGGAAUUUAUUCUCCAGGGAUUCGAAGCUCACAUACACAGAGCCAUUAGCGAAAAAUGGGGUCAAGAUCGCUCGUAUUGAUCCAGAUGAGGUUGUUAAACGAGCGGAGAAUUGGAGAUCGGCAGUAAUAUGUAUGGUUCUAGGAGCUAAUCCUCCAAUGGCAGUCUUCGAGGGGUUCAUCAAACGCAUUUGGGGACAUCUAGGUAUAGUUCAAGUGGUCCAUAUUAACAUGGGGUUAGUUAUGGUCAAAUUUAAUGAUGAAGCAAAUAAAGAUAAACUGCUAGAAACAUGAGUGAUGCAAUUUGACAAGAAACCAGUCAUCAUCAGGCCAUGGUCAACUGACUUGAACACAGUCAAGCUGGUGCGAACAGUUCCAUUUUGGAUUCGUCUUCACGAUCUUGGGCUUCAAUAUUGGGGAAACAAUAUCUUUAGUGCUUUGGUUAGUACGAUUAGAAAAUUGAUAAUGGUGGACCAACAUACUAAAGAAUGCACCCGAGUUCAAUUUGUAAGAAUUCUAGUGGAGAUGGACAGCACGGAUGAUGCUCCUCGCACUAUCCCAUACUUGAAUGAACACGGUCAGUUAGUUGAGCAAAGUGUUGAGUAUGGGUGGCUCCCUGUUAAGUGUAAGAAUUGCUCGGGAUAUGGCCAUAUCAUGGGAGAUGAUCACAAAGGAGGGAAGGAAAAAAAGGGUAAAAGCUCAUAUCAGGUAGCAGUGACAAAAAGAUAGUGUUCUAGUUUCAACUUCAACUCGUGACCAAUCGAAGGCAGGCUCAAGUCGAUUGAUCACUGGCUCAGAAAUAUGGAAACAACAAGAAGUUGAGGCUCGAGAUGAAUGGAUUAUACCCAAAAAAAAAAAACCAGUUGCAGCAAGGUCAAGCAAGGUGGAAGGAAAGGAUGCUAAUGCAAACAAUAAUUCUAACAAGUCAAGGAACACAUUUAGUGUGCUUCAAGAGGCUGAUGGUGGAUUGGGAAAAGAAAUGAGGGAAUUUGAUGAAGGGGGAACAAGUACUGUUUUUAUUAGUUGAUGGAUAAUUGUAACAUUGCUUGUUAGAACGUUAGGGGUAUCAAUAAGUUGAAAAAAUAGGAUACCAUAUUAGACUUUUGCAGUAUGAAUAAAAUAGGAGUUAUGGCUUUACUUGAAACAAAGCUUAAGGGCAAUAAAGUAGUUGAAAUGAUGGAGAAUAAGUUCAAAAGUUGGGAUUACUUUACUAGUAGCAACAUAGAAGGCAGAUUGUUGAUUCUUUGGCGGAGGAAUUUUACUAGAGUGAUUGUAUUGGCUGAGAGUUCUCAAUAUGUUCGCUGUUAAAGGAAGCUUUUUAUGUUACUUUUGUCUAUGAAGUUAAUACCAUGGAUGAGAGAAAAGAUUUAUGGAAGGACCUAUUGAAGAUUCGUUUUCCAGCCAAGCCAUGGCUCAUUCCAGGGAAUUUUAAUGUUGGUUAUUAUAUUAAUGAUCGAACAUGAGGUAAACAAAUAAAUUUGGCUGAUAUUGACGAUUCCUCUUCUUGGCAAGAUCAUGCUCAAGUGGAUAAAUAAUAAAUAAUGUAAAAACAACAAUUUCUGCUAAAUUUAAAAUGAGGACAUUUACUUAUGGUGAUAUGAUUUAAAGUCAUUAUAAUUUCUCUAAAUUUAAAACAAUGGGGUUUGCUCUCUCCACCGAAUAUUUGGUAUAAUAAAAGCAAGCCCAUACAAAGCAACAAGAAAACAUAUUCGGGGCCUUCCGUUUGUUGAGAGUUUGAAUCCCUUCUCACUAUUAGUAAAUGGCAUAUGAUCGAAAUAAAGCAUGGAAUCUACACACACAAAUGUGGCAGAAAAUUGAGCUCCAAAUGCCAGUAUAUUGCCGCAAUACAUGAUGGAUCAAUAACUAAAACAACGAUCCAAAUUGUUUCAUCCAUAGUAAAAGCAAUAAAGGAUGGCCCCAACACUGCUAAUAUUUACAUAUAUUUGUGUCAUAUAUUAGCACACUUUUAAGUACCAUAGAAAGAUUAUUAUGCAACUCCAUGUGUAU